GACGAACGCUGGCGGCGUGCUUUAGGCAUGCAAGUCGAACGCGAAAGCCCCUUCGGGGGUGAGUAGAGUGGCGAACGGGUGAGUAACACGUGGGUAACCUGCCCCUCGCAGGGGGAUAACCGGGGGAAACCCCGGCUAAUACACCGUACGCUUGCUGGGGCGCAUGCUCCGGCAAGGAGAGGUAGCUUCGGCCAUCCGGCGAGGGAGGGGCCCGCGGGCCAUUAGCUAGUUGGGGGGGUAACGGGCCACCAAGGCGACGAUGGGUAGCUGGCCUGUGAGGGGGUGCAGCCACACAGGGGGUGAGACACGGCCCAGACCCCUACGGGAGGCAGCGGCCAGGAGUCUGGCGCAAAGGGCGAAAGCCUGACGCAGCAACGCGGCGUGGGCGAGGUAGGCCUGCGGGUCGUAAAGCCCUGUUGUCGGGGACGAAGGGCGAAGGGUUAAGAGCCCCGAGCCUGACGGUACCCGACGAGGAAGCCCCGGCUAACUACGUG
rnacentral:rRNA from 1 species